AACUCGGUCUGGUCCCCUUCCAGAGUGUGGGAGCUUAGUUCUUUCGGUCUUUGCAAUAAAUCUUGCUGCUGCUUACUCUUUGGGUCCACACCGCCUUUAUGAGCUGUAACACUCACUGUGAAGGUCUGCAGCUUCACUCCUGAGCCAGUGAGACCACGAACCCACCAGAAGGAAGAAACUCUGAACACAUCCGAACAUCAGAAGGAACAAACUCUGGACGCGCCGCCUUUUUAAGAACUGUAACACUCACUGUGAGGGUCCGCGGCUUCAGUCUUGAAGUCAGUGAGACCAAGAACCCACCGAUUCCGGACACACUUUCAGAAUGUGACGAGGACCUGAGGGUCUGGAAAUAACUGGGAAAGAAAAGCCUUGUGGAAAGAAGACAUCUCCAGGGAAAACAUGCUGCUUCUUCAAAGACUCCAAUUUCAGAUGGCAAAAUGCAUGGAAGCUGAGAUGGACCUUCUGGAGUUUUCGAUAAACCACUGUAGCUCAGUCAGAGGUCCAAUUAUGAUGAUACCCACACAGCCCGGUCCUCCCACAGCCUACAUCCAAUCCUCUGAGGAAGCUGAGUGGCACUGCCUUUAUUCACCACAGAUGCUACAGAAUCAGCAGGAAAAAUGCACUCUUUUAAGAGAUGGAGUCUUGCUAUAUUUCCCAAGAUGGACUUGAACUCCUGGGCUCAAGCAGUCCUCCCACCUCAGCCUUCCAAGUUGCUGGAACUAUAUAGGUGCACACCACUGUGUCCGGCUAAAUUUGUGUAUUUCCAUGGAUGUAUAAUAUAUUUACAUAUCUACUAUCUUUCAUCAAAUUUUUUGUAAAAUAGACUCUGAAUUGGAGAUUUGCAUACAGGAAGUUUAAUGGUUUAUCCUCUGGAACAAUGUCUGUAAGAGAGGGAGGAAAGCAGGAAUGUUCCAAGGGAAAAGUUGAAGCAUGGUGAGUUACAACAGAGGCAUACAUUGUUCAGUUCCACAUGGAAAUUUAGAUCUUGGAUGGACCUUCCAACUGGUGUUGAUUUGAUAUCAGGAGCCCCUCUGUAACCACACAUUGACUAGUGACUGGAUAUAAGCUGCCCCUUGGGGAGAGGGCUGGACAUCAGACAAGGCAGAUCCAUGGAAAUUCUAAGAAAGUGACUCAAAUGUGGGCUAUCAGCAGCCAAUCUUCUAUGCAUUUGAUGGAAUAAGUGCCUCUGUCCUGAGGAGGUGACCACAACCUUCACUACAGUUCAUCUCUG
rnacentral:lncRNA from 1 species